rnacentral:misc_RNA from 1 species
CCGUUGGUGAACCAGCGGAGGGAUCAUUACCGAGUUUACAACUCCCAAACCCCUGUGAACAUACCAUUUGUUGCCUCGGCGGUGCCUGCUUCGGCAGCCCGCCAGAGGACCCAAACCCUUGAUUUUAUACAGUAUCUUCUGAGUAAAUGAUUAAAUAAAUCAAAACUUUCAACAACGGAUCUCUUGGUUCUG